GAGCCAGUGUGGUUUAGUCGUUUGAGCAUUGGACUGUGACUCUGGAGACCAGGGUUCGAAUCCUUCCUGGAUCA
rnacentral:tRNA from 1 species